rnacentral:rRNA from 1 species
AGCGAACGCUGGCGGCAGGCCUAACACAUGCAAGUCGAGCGCCCCGCAAGGGGAGCGGCAGACGGGAGAGUAACACGUGGGAACGUACCCUUCAGUUCGGAACAACCCAGGGAAACUUGGGCCAAGUACCGGAUACGUCCGUAAGGAGAAAGAUUUAUCGCUGAAGGAUCGGCCCGCGUCUGAUUAGCUAGUUGGUGGGGUAAUGGCCCACCAAGGCGACGAUCAGUAGCUGGUCUGAGAGGAUGAUCAGCCUCAUUGGGACUGAGACACGGCCCAAACUCCUACGGGAGGCAGCAGUGGGGAAUAUUGGACAAUGGGCGCAAGCC